UCAAUUUCGAACAAAAAAUCAGAAAUUUGAGGUUAGGGUUUCUAAUUUAUUUAGCUUUGCGUUAUAUUUUUGUCGAAUUACUUCUAGAAUUGCUGAGUAUAUUCGAGAAUCGUUUUUCAAUUCCCUAAUUCAAGUUAAUUUAGGGUUUUGAUUUCAAUUAAUUUUUCAAUUUUUGAUGGUUAAUUUUUUUUAUUAUAUUUGAUUCUCGUAUUCAACAUGCAGUUGAAUUUGGGAUGUCCAUGGAGCUAAUUUUGUCAAAGUUGACCAGGAGACUCUUCAGUCUCAUCCUUGUAUCCCUUUUUCUCUUUACUCUCGAUUUAAUUGUUUAAUUUCUGGAUUUGCUAUUUUUUUUUCAUUGUUUAUUGAUUGGAUGAAAUAGUUUUUUUUGGGGGGGUUUUAACUUAAAUUUUAAUUUGCUUAGUGUUGAUGCUAUGGAAGACUUGAAAGUGUUGUGUUGUGGAAAAUUUCUUAUUUACAUAUUGAAAUUUGACUGUGGUGAAUAUUGGAUUAUGAGCCAGCAAUUUCAGUCUAGUGAAUUGCCUGGUUCUCGUAUUCAACCUUAUCGUCAUUGGUUUGGUACGUUUUUUCUUACGAAAUUGCUGUUAUUUUUUUAUGCAAAUUUGAUAUAAUUUCAAUAAUUAUUGAAUAUUAAGUUUGGGGAUUUGGAAGAAUUGAACCGAAGUAUUUGAUUGAACGUGAAAUUUGUCAAAUUGCAUUGAUGAUGAUUGAAUUGGUUGAUAUAGUAGUUUUGGGGUUUAAAAUCAGAUUACACAACUCAGUUUUAUUGUGAGUGAUCUAGGGUUUUUUUAAUUUGUUUCAAUAAUUACGAUUGAUCCAGGAUUUUGAUAAUUUGAGCUUUUGGAAUUGUGAAUAUACGGAAAAUUUGAAUUAUGGGUACCCGAAGUAUUUGACUUGUGAGUAUACAGAGUAUUUGAUACUUGAAUCUUGAACUUUAGUAGUUUAAUUUGUGGAUGUAUUGUGAAUAUUGUAUUGGUUGUCAUUUAAUUUGAUUUAAAAAGGUAUAUAUCUUUUUGGGUAUAUUUUGAUUGAUUUCUUGAUUGUGGUAUGCAUAUAUUUUGAUCAGUUUUGGGUUUUUUUUAUUGAAUAUGCAAAUUAAAUCUCAUUUGGUAGUGGAUAAUGGUGGAUUAUUUCAUUAUAUUUUGUUUCUAGUUUGUCUUCUUAUAUUGCCUUAUUGUACCAUAAUUGUUAAGUUUCUUGACAAGUAUAGCUAAGGAAUUAAAAUUGGGUUUUGGAUUGAUUUUCGGAGUUUUUUUUUUUGCGUUUUUUUAUCGAAUGACUUGAAGCUUGAACCUGUUGCCCUGCUUCCCUGCAGUGCACCCCUACUACUGCUACUUUUGCUCUGUUAUAGCUGCUGCUUUUGCUCUGCCGAGAUUAGGCAGGUGUGGCUUUAAGCCUAUGUUUUUAUAUUAAGUUACACUUGUUGCCUGCAACUAUGGCUUUAAUAUCUUCUGGAAAUGAUGAAUUUGUUUGGGAGUAUUCUUGCUGAAGCCAUUGACAAGAUUGGGGCUGAUGGUGUUAUCUGUCGUUCUCAACCUCUGAAACUUACAUAAGGGAAUGAAGGGACCUGUACAGUAACAAUAUCAGGGGGCCAAUACCUAGUGAGCUGGGCAAUCUGGAAAAUUUGGUCAGUUUGGAUCUCUAUUUGAACAGUUUCAGCGGUCCAACUCUGCCAUUUCGGAGUCUUUGGGCAGGCUAUCAAAGUUUUGCUUUCUCUUACAUAUGGAUCUAUAAUCAAAUUGGUGCAUGAAAUAACAAAAUUCAGGCUGCAUUCAGGUUGCUCUAUUGCCUAAUAUGGACGUUGCAUUCUCUUUAGUGCUGCUGCUUCGGUACUACUGUUGUUUAGCUACUGUGAUGCUGUUGUUCUGCUAUUGGGCUGCUGUUAUUUUUUUUUUCAAGUGUAAAAUUACAGGUUAUUAAUGAAAAUUAUCAGUUUCAAGUAUAUUAUGUAUAUCUAUAACAGUUGAUGAUAAAUUCAGAUGAAAAAAGCAAAAAAAAAACAAAUGAUUUUUU